rnacentral:rRNA from 1 species
AACGAACGCUGGCGGCAUGCCUAAUACAUGCAAGUCGAACGGAAGCAGCAAUGCUUUAGUGGCGAACGGGUGAGUAACACGUAGGGAACCUACCUAUACGACGAGGAUAACUACUGGAAACGGUAGCUAAAACUGGAUAGGAUCAAUUGAGGCAUCUUGAUUGAUUUAAAGAUCCUUCGGGAUUACGUAGAGAUGGCCCUGCGGCGCAUUAGCUAGUUGGUGAGGUAACGGCCCACCAAGGCGACGAUCCGUAGCGGGUCUGAGAGGAUGAUCCGCCACACUGGGACUGAGACACGGCCCAGACUCCUACGGGAGGCAGCAGUGGGGAAUUUUGGACAAUGGGGGCAACCCUGAUCCAGCCAUGCCGCGUGAGUGAAGAAGG